GGGUUAGUAGGUUGGUCAUGCCUCCGGUAUGUACUGGCCUCACUGAUUCCUCCUUCCUGAUGAACCGUAAUGCCAUUUAUUUGGUGUUGCAGGGAAACUGGACUGUUACUUUGAAAAAAUUAGAGUGUUUAAAGCAAGCUAACGCUUGAAUACAUUAGCAUGGAAUAAUGAAAUAGGACGUUCGAUCCUAUUUUGUUGGUUUCUAGGAUUGACGUA
rnacentral:rRNA from 1 species